rnacentral:rRNA from 1 species
UACACUCCUACGGGAGGCAGCAGUGGGGAAUAUUGGACAAUGGGCGCAAGCCUGAUCCAGCCAUGCCGCGUGAGUGAUGAAGGCCCUAGGGUUGUAAAGCUCUUUCACCGGUGAAGAUAAUGACGGUAACCGGAGAAGAAGCCCCGGCUAACUUCGUGCCAGCAGCCGCGGUAAUACGAAGGGGGCUAGCGUUGUUCGGAUUUACUGGGCGUAAAGCGCACGUAGGCGGACUAUUAAGUCAGGGGUGAAAUCCCGGGGCUCAACCCCGGAACUGCCUUCGAUACUGGUAGUCUUGAGUUCGAGAGAGGUGAGUGGAAUUCCGAGUGUAGAGGUGAAAUUCGUAGAUAUUCGGAGGAACACCAGUGGCGAAGGCGGCUCACUGGCUCGAUACUGACGCUGAGGUGCGAAAGCGUGGGGAGCAAACAGGAUUAGAAACCCCAGUAGUCCCAUG